AUUCUGGCUCAGGAUGAACGCUGGCGGCGUGCUUAACACAUGCAAGUCGAACGGGAUCCAUCGGGCUUUGCUUGGUGGUGAGAGUGGCGAACGGGUGAGUAAUGCGUGACCGACCUGCCCCAUACACCGGAAUAGCUCCUGGAAACGGGUGGUAAUGCCGGAUGCUCCGACUCCUCGCAUGGGGUGUCGGGAAAGAUUUCAUCGGUAUGGGAUGGGGUCGCGUCCUAUCAGGUAGUCGGCGGGGUAACGGCCCACCGAGCCUACGACGGGUAGCCGGCCUGAGAGGGCGACCGGCCACAUUGGGACUGAGAUACGGCCCAGACUCCUACGGGAGGCAGCAGUGGGGAAUAUUGCACAAUGGGCGCAAGCCUGAUGCAGCGACGCCGCGUGCGGGAUGACGGCCUUCGGGUUGUAAACCGCUUUUGAUCGGGAGCAAGCCUUCGGGUGAGUGUACCUUUCGAAUAAGCACCGGCUAACUACGUGCCAGCAGCCGCGGUAAUACGUAGGGUGCAAGCGUUAUCCGGAAUUAUUGGGCGUAAAGGGCUCGUAGGCGGUUCGUCGCGUCCGGUGUGAAAGUCCAUCGCUUAACGGUGGAUCUGCGCCGGGUACGGGCGGGCUGGAGUGCGGUAGGGGAGACUGGAAUUCCCGGUGUAACGGUGGAAUGUGUAGAUAUCGGGAAGAACACCGAUGGCGAAGGCAGGUCUCUGGGCCGUCACUGACGCUGAGGAGCGAAAGCGUGGGGAGCGAACAGGAUUAGAUACCCUGGUAGUCCACGCCGUAAACGGUGGAUGCUGGAUGUGGGGCCCGUUCCACGGGUUCCGUGUCGGAGCUAACGCGUUAAGCAUCCCGCCUGGGGAGUACGGCCGCAAGGCUAAAACUCAAAGAAAUUGACGGGGGCCCGCACAAGCGGCGGAGCAUGCGGAUUAAUUCGAUGCAACGCGAAGAACCUUACCUGGGCUUGACAUGUUCCCGACGACGCCAGAGAUGGCGUUUCCCUUCGGGGCGGGUUCACAGGUGGUGCAUGGUCGUCGUCAGCUCGUGUCGUGAGAUGUUGGGUUAAGUCCCGCAACGAGCGCAACCCUCGCCCUGUGUUGCCAGCACGUCAUGGUGGGAACUCACGGGGGACCGCCGGGGUCAACUCGGAGGAAGGUGGGGAUGACGUCAGAUCAUCAUGCCCCUUACGUCCAGGGCUUCACGCAUGCUACAAUGGCCGGUACAACGGGAUGCGACACGGUGACGUGGAGCGGAUCCCUGAAAACCGGUCUCAGUUCGGAUUGGAGUCUGCAACCCGACUCCAUGAAGGCGGAGUCGCUAGUAAUCGCGGAUCAGCAACGCCGCGGUGAAUGCGUUCCCGGGCCUUGUACACACCGCCCGUCAAGUCAUGAAAGUGGGUAGCACCCGAAGCCGGUGGCCUAACCCUUUGUGGAUGGAGCCGUCUAAGGUGAGACUCGUGAUUGGGACUAAGUCGUAACAAGGUAGCCGUACCGGAAGGUGCGGCUG
rnacentral:rRNA from 1 species